GAACAGAUUCAGAAUGGCCUUAGGUCCCCAACAGAUUCAGAACAUAUAGAGCGCGUCCGCCCUAACAAAACAGAAGACACCCACGUGUCUAGCAUAUGAUCAUAGCUUCUUAUCAGAAUGGCAUCAAAUGCCGAGCAUGCUCAUCAGACAGAAUAAAAUCAAAUCACGCAUCAAAUUCACACCAAGUAUAUUAGAGCCCAAAAUCCAUUUUUUUUUAUUCUUAUUUUUAUUCUGACUUUCCAUUACUCAUAAAAUUUAUUUUCUGUAGUAUUCAUAAAAUUACAAUAAAAACUGAAUUUCAACUGAAUUCAUUCAUGAAACUUCUCAUACUUAAACAAAAUUACUUAACAUAGGAAAUUUCCAGCAUAAAAGCAAUCUUGACCUUUGCUGAGUUUUUGAUACAUAACUUGAGUUAUAUAUCUC
rnacentral:lncRNA from 1 species